GAGCACCAGUGCCCUGUGCCCGCUCUGCCAUGCCAGCCCUAGAGCCAGGGAAUCAGUGGGAGACCUUUACAAAGUUGGACUUUGCUGAAGAUGCUGCGUGGCCAAUCCUGCCUUGGAGGCUCCUCUGGUCCAUGGGAGUCUCCAGGUCUGCUCCAGUCUGGUCCAUGGCUGCUCCACAGAAUGGUCCCGUGCCUUGACAUUGAUUUAUCAUCCACCAUGACCACAAGCUCAGGGAUGAGGAAGGAAUACCCAUGGCUGCUACCAUCCCUGCCCCUCUGGCUUCAGAUAAAUCACCAAGCUUGGAGCAUGACUGCCCCAGAAAGAAGGAGAAGCAACUGCAUUGCUCUGCUCAACACAUGGCAGCUUGCUCCUCUCCUCUCCACAGAACAUUGAUCUUCAAGGUCAUACACAAUUAAAGGAGUGGGAGACAUUCCCUGGAAUUAGCUGUUCCCUCUUUCAUUUUCCUGCUUAAGGUAAGAGCUGCACAAACUCCUUCUAUAAGAGUCACCUAAUAGAGAAUACAAUGACUGGUCUGUCAUCAAAGUAUUUAGGGAUGGUGACGAUACCUAGAUUGGUUUCCAGUGUGUUUUUUGUUUUUAUUUUACUGUGAUGUUUCUACAAAAUCCAUAAAUCAUAGGGAUGUGAUAAGAAACAGGUCGCAGUUGCUGGUUAUUCUUGUCCAGAUGCACAGAAAUGCCCUGAUUGUUUUUUUCCAAUGACAACCAGCUCAGGGCUAAACAUUUUUCAGUUGCACAGCCAGCUUUCAAGGUUACACAUAGAUACUGAAUGAAACAGAGCCCACUGGUUAUUUUUAGAGAGGCUCUAAACAAGAAGCAAAUCCCUGCAGCAGUGCUGCCAGAGAUGCAUAAAGUUCAAAUCCAAAUUAAAACUGCCUAUCUUUGGCCUACAUUCCAGCUUGAACUUGAGGAAAACUGUGACUUGAACUUUAUGACAAAAACUCUUUUGCAAUUAGUUUUAAUACCUGAGAAUACAUGAACUUGGCACAAACACUUAAAUAGAACUUGAAUGAAAAAUGUGAACACUUGUCCCAAAAUGUAGUACCUGUUCUUGUGAGUUUUGUAUGGUUUCAGUAGCUACACUGGAAUUUGGAGUGUCUAAUUUUUUGUGAUUCUUAGUUUCAACACAUCUUUGUAAGAUCAAGCCCUACAAUGUAAUUGUAAAUUUUGGGGGCAGGAGGAGAAACAUGUUUAUUUAUUGAUCCUUCUAAUAAUGAUCUGUGAUGCUCAGGUCCAGGUUUAGCAGUGACCACAACAGAGUAUGAAGAAAGGAGACCCUUUGACAGCAGCAUAUUUAUGCAAAGUAGUGCAACUGAAGCAUGUUCUUGAUUUCUUUGCUGAAUCAGAGCCUGUAUCUUCUUCCUGCCAAGGCAGCGAUCUAAUACCACUCCUAAAUGCACUAGUAAUUCUAGAAGCCCUAACGAAAGUCAAGAUAACACCACAGAUUUUAUAAAUAAGGGUCUUUAUUUAGAAUACUGUUGAAAACAUUCUUGGCAACCAAAUCGUAUAAAUAUAUAAAGUUAAAGUUUGACACAACAAACCAAGCAAUAUUAAAUAUUUUUAAAUUUUUCCCCUUUUUAAAUUUUUGGUUUUUUCUUUUUUUAAUUUUUUUUCUUUUUUUUUUUUUUUUUUUCUUUUUUUUUUUUU